AUGCAGGCUGAUCAGCGAGGUUGAGUCUGAUGUGACUCUGUCCUUUCCUUUUAUGUCUGCUAGAUGGAUUUGGGGUGGUUUGAGGCCAUGCUGUCUACCUCAUACAGCCCGGUUAUAGAAACCCCGGACAAAA